rnacentral:piRNA from 1 species
UGAUGCUGAUGGAACUGAUAUACAUACCA